ACGUGGUAGAGAAAAGGGAAGCACGGGAGGCGACUGGGGACGACCGUGCGGAGAAAGGCCCCAAGCGCCCAUCGCCUGUCUCGACCACGCCGUGACGCGACUAUCUCCGGCGUGCAGAGAAAUCCGACGCGACUCUCUGCCCAGGAGCGCUCUCUGUCGCUUCUUCCUCGGGGAUCGUGCAUUCAUUGCGCUCAACAGGUGGUGGUGCUGCUGCUACGUAGUUUUUGUGUGGCCGUGGUCUGAUGGUUUUGACCACUGGACACGACUGACCACUACGAGGAACGAGAAGGUGCCUUUUCUGGUAUUUUUCUGAGGAUUUCAGCCACACACAACUUUUGACUAUCUCAUUCGUGUGCUUUCGCGAGAUUUGUGUUGGUGUGUGUGUGUUGGAGACUUUUUUUUUCGAAAGCGUUGGGGCACCACCCACGAGUUUCGAACCGUCGACU